AUUGAACGCUGGCGGCAGGCCUAACACAUGCAAGUCGAGCGGUAGCACAGAGAGCUUGCUCUCGGGUGACGAGCGGCGGACGGGUGAGUAAUGUCUGGGAAACUGCCUGAUGGAGGGGGAUAACUACUGGAAACGGUAGCUAAUACCGCAUAACGUCGCAAGACCAAAGUGGGGGACCUUCGGGCCUCAUGCCAUCAGAUGUGCCCAGAUGGGAUUAGCUAGUAGGUGGGGUAAUGGCUCACCUAGGCGACGAUCCCUAGCUGGUCUGAGAGGAUGACCAGCCACACUGGAACUGAGACACGGUCCAGACUCCUACGGGAGGCAGCAGUGGGGAAUAUUGCACAAUGGGCGCAAGCCUGAUGCAGCCAUGCCGCGUGUGUGAAGAAGGCCUUCGGGUUGUAAAGCACUUUCAGCGGGGAGGAAGGCGAUAAGGUUAAUAACCUUGUCGAUUGACGUUACCCGCAGAAGAAGCACCGGCUAACUCCGUGCUAGCAGCCGCGGUAAUACGGAGGGUGCAAGCGUUAAUCGGAAUUACUGGGCGUAAAGCGCACGCAGGCGGUCUGUCAAGUCGGAUGUGAAAUCCCCGGGCUCAACCUGGGAACUGCAUUCGAAACUGGCAGGCUAGAGUCUUGUAGAGGGGGGUGGAAUUCCAGGUGUAGCGGUGAAAUGCGUAGAGAUCUGGAGGAAUACCGGUGGCGAAGGCGGCCCCCUGGACAAAGACUGACGCUCAGGUGCGAAAGCGUGGGGAGCAAACAGGAUUAGAUACCCUGGUAGUCCACGCCGUAAACGAUGUCGAUUUGGAGGUUGUGCCCUUGAGGCGUGGCUUCCGGAGCUAACGCGUUAAAUCGACCGCCUGGGGAGUACGGCCGCAAGGUUAAAACUCAAAUGAAUUGACGGGGGCCCGCACAAGCGGUGGAGCAUGUGGUUUAAUUCGAUGCAACGCGAAGAACCUUACCUGGUCUUGACAUCCACAGAACUUUCCAGAGAUGGAUUGGUGCCUUCGGGAACUGUGAGACAGGUGCUGCAUGGCUGUCGUCAGCUCGUGUUGUGAAAUGUUGGGUUAAGUCCCGCAACGAGCGCAACCCUUAUCCUUUGUUGCCAGCGGUUAGGCCGGGAACUCAAAGGAGACUGCCAGUGAUAAACUGGAGGAAGGUGGGGAUGACGUCAAGUCAUCAUGGCCCUUACGACCAGGGCUACACACGUGCUACAAUGGCAUAUACAAAGAGAAGCGACCUCGCGAGAGCAAGCGGACCUCAUAAAGUAUGUCGUAGUCCGGAUUGGAGUCUGCAACUCGACUCCAUGAAGUCGGAAUCGCUAGUAAUCGUAGAUCAGAAUGCUACGGUGAAUACGUUCCCGGGCCU
rnacentral:rRNA from 1 species